GGAAUCUUCGGCAAUGGACGAAAGUCUGACCGAGCAACGCCGCGUGAGUGAAGAAGGUUUUCGGAUCGUAAAACUCUGUUGGUAGAGAAGAACGUUGGUGAGAGUGGAAAGCUCAGCAAGUGACGGUAACUACCCAGAAAGGGACGGCUAACUACGUGCCAA
rnacentral:rRNA from 1 species